UUAAGCGACUAAGCGUACACGGUGGAUGCCCUGGCAGUCAGAGGCGAUGAAGGACGUGCUAAUCUGCGAAAAGCGACGGCGAGGUGAUAUGAACCCUUGACCCGUCGAUGUCCGAAUGGGGAAACCCAGUGCAAUCCGUUGCACUAUCGUUAACUGAAUACAUAGGUUAACGAGGCGAACCGGGGGAACUGAAACAUCUAAGUACCCCGAGGAAAAGAAAUCAACCGAGAUUCCCCCAGUAGCGGCGAGCGAACGGGGAGCAGCCCGGAGUCUGAAUCAGCUUGUGUGUUAGUGGAACGGUCUGGAAAGUCCGACGGUACAGGGUGAUAGUCCCGUACACGAAAGCACACUUGCUGUGAACUCGAAGAGUAGGGCGGGACACGUGGUAUCCUGUCUGAAUAUGGGGGGACCAUCCUCCAAGGCUAAAUACUCCUGACUGACCGAUAGUGAACCAGUACCGUGAGGGAAAGGCGAAAAGAACCCCGGCGAGGGGAGUGAAAAAGAACCUGAAACCGUGUACGUACAAGCAGUGGGAGCCUCUUUAUGGGGUGACUGCGUACCUUUUGUAUAAUGGGUCAGCGACUUAUAUUCUGUAGCAAGGUUAACCGUAUAGGGGAGCCGAAGGGAAACCGAGUCUUAACUGGGCGUUAAGUUGCAGGGUAUAGACCCGAAACCCGGUGAUCUAGCCAUGGGCAGGUUGAAGGUUGGGUAACACUAACUGGAGGACCGAACCGACUAAUGUUGAAAAAUUAGCGGAUGACCUGUGGCUGGGGGUGAAAGGCCAAUCAAACCGGGAGAUAGCUGGUUCUCCCCGAAAGCUAUUUAGGUAGCGCCUCGUGAACUCAUCUUCGGGGGUAGAGCACUGUUUCGGCUAGGGGGCCAUCCCGGCUUACCAACCCGAUGCAAACUACGAAUACCGAAGAAUGUUAUCACGGGAGACACACGGCGGGUGCUAACGUCCGUCGUGAAGAGGGAAACAACCCAGACCGCCAGCUAAGGUCCCAAAGUCAUGGUUAAGUGGGAAACGAUGUGGGAAGGCACAGACAGCCAGGAUGUUGGCUUAGAAGCAGCCAUCAUUUAAAGAAAGCGUAAUAGCUCACUGGUCGAGUCGGCCUGCGCGGAAGAUGUAACGGGGCUAAACCAUGCACCGAAGCUGCGGCAGCGACGCUUAUGCGUUGUUGGGUAGGGGAGCGUUCUGUAAGCCGUUGAAGGUGUGCUGUGAGGCAUGCUGGAGGUAUCAGAAGUGCGAAUGCUGACAUAAGUAACGAUAAAGCGGGUGAAAAGCCCGCUCGCCGGAAGACCAAGGGUUCCUGUCCAACGUUAAUCGGGGCAGGGUGAGUCGACCCCUAAGGCGAGGCCGAAAGGCGUAGUCGAUGGGAAACAGGUUAAUAUUCCUGUACUUGGUGUUACUGCGAAGGGGGGACGGAGAAGGCUAUGUUAGCCGGGCGACGGUUGUCCCGGUUUAAGCAUGUAGGCGGAGGUUCCAGGUAAAUCCGGUACCUUUUAACGCUGAGGUGUGAUGACGAGGCACUACGGUGCUGAAGUAACAAAUGCCCUGCUUCCAGGAAAAGCCUCUAAGCAUCAGGUAACACGAAAUCGUACCCCAAACCGACACAGGUGGUCAGGUAGAGAAUACCAAGGCGCUUGAGAGAACUCGGGUGAAGGAACUAGGCAAAAUGGUGCCGUAACUUCGGGAGAAGGCACGCUGAUAUGUAGGUGAAGUCCCUGCGGAUGGAGCUGAAAUCAGUCGAAGAUACCAGCUGGCUGCAACUGUUUAUUAAAAACACAGCACUGUGCAAACACGAAAGUGGACGUAUACGGUGUGACGCCUGCCCGGUGCCGGAAGGUUAAUUGAUGGGGUUAGCGGCAACGCGAAGCUCUUGAUCGAAGCCCCGGUAAACGGCGGCCGUAACUAUAACGGUCCUAAGGUAGCGAAAUUCCUUGUCGGGUAAGUUCCGACCUGCACGAAUGGCGUAAUGAUGGCCAGGCUGUCUCCACCCGAGACUCAGUGAAAUUGAACUCGCUGUGAAGAUGCAGUGUACCCGCGGCAAGACGGAAAGACCCCGUGAACCUUUACUAUAGCUUGACACUGAACACUGGUCCUUGAUGUGUAGGAUAGGUGGGAGGCUUUGAAGCGUGGACGCCAGUCUGCGUGGAGCCAUCCUUGAAAUACCACCCUUUAAUGGCUGGUGUUCUAACGUUGACCCGUAAUCCGGGUUGCGGACAGUGUCUGGUGGGUAGUUUGACUGGGGCGGUCUCCUCCCAAAGAGUAACGGAGGAGCACGAAGGUUAGCUAAUCCUGGUCGGACAUCAGGAGGUUAGUGCAAUGGCAUAAGCUAGCUUGACUGCGAGAGUGACGGCUCGAGCAGGUGCGAAAGCAGGUCAUAGUGAUCCGGUGGUUCUGAAUGGAAGGGCCAUCGCUCAACGGAUAAAAGGUACUCCGGGGAUAACAGGCUGAUACCGCCCAAGAGUUCAUAUCGACGGCGGUGUUUGGCACCUCGAUGUCGGCUCAUCACAUCCUGGGGCUGAAGUAGGUCCCAAGGGUAUGGCUGUUCGCCAUUUAAAGUGGUACGCGAGCUGGGUUUAGAACGUCGUGAGACAGUUCGGUCCCUAUCUGCCGUGGGCGCUGGAGAAUUGAGGGGGGCUGCUCCUAGUACGAGAGGACCGGAGUGGACGCAUCACUGGUGUUCGGGUUGUCAUGCCAAUGGCACUGCCCGGUAGCUAAAUGCGGAAGAGAUAAGUGCUGAAAGCAUCUAAGCACGAAACUUGCCCCGAGAUGAGUUCUCCCUGAGACUUUAAGUCUCCUGAAGGAACGUUGAAGACUACGACGUUGAUAGGUCGGGUGUGUAAGCGCAGCGAUGCGUUGAGCUAACCGAUACUAAUGAACCGUGAGGCUUAACCUU
rnacentral:rRNA from 1 species